GCGGCCAUGGCGAAGUGGUUAACGCACCGGAUUGUGGCUCCGGCAUCGUGGGUUCGAUUCCCACUGGUCGCC
rnacentral:tRNA from 2 species